AUUGUAAAAGUCACGGGAAGAAGGAUCACAUGGUAAUUUGACGCUAUGUUCCCAUUUUGGGUCUUAACCACAUAAUUGAGGGAAACUACCGCUGUACCCAAAGCAAAAGAUAAUGCACUGUGGAUGAAUUACAAAGCGCGUUGAAUUUCCUAUUUUGCAUUCAAAAGAUAUCCAACUGGCAAAGAAGGGUGUCUUGAAAUAUUCUCUAAAAAAAUUGAAAAUGCUGAAAAAUGCAAAUCAAAAUCAAGUACUAAU
rnacentral:sRNA from 1 species